GUGACUCUAGGUCAGGUGAGAUUACCAGCCGAGUUUAAGCAUAUCAAUAAGUCAAGGAAAAGAAACUUACCAAGAUUCCCCUAGUAACGACAAGUGAACUAGGAAUAGCCCAGCUUGAGAAUUGGGUGCCCUCGUCAUCUGAAUUGUAGUCUAGAAAAGCAUUUUCAAUGAUGAACUAGGCCUAAAUCCCCUAGAAAUAGGUGCCAGAGUAGGUGAGAGCCCCAUUAUUCCUAGACCCUAUAGCACCAUAAGGCAUUGUUUACAAUUCAGGUUGUUUGGGAAUGCAACCCCUAAUCGGGGGAUAAAUUUUGUCCAAGGCUGAAUACGAGUGAGAGACCAAUACUGAACAAGUACUAUGAGGGAAAGAUAAAAAUGACUUUGGAAAGGAGUUAAAGAGUGCUUGAAAUUGUUAUGAGGGAAGCAUAUGGGGGCUGGCGCUAUGCCCUUAUUAGAUGUGAAACUGUAAAAGUUGAUUCGUUAAUCAAUGCAAAAGUGAACUGACGUUAGUCAUAAUGGUUGCCUAAGCUUAGGCUUUUGAUAUGCCUAUAGAGACAUCAUCAUUGCAAUCUUAGAAUGUAGCAUGUGUCAUCUCUGCAUGCCUUAGCAUCGACGUGCUCUCAACGUCGACCUAUGAACUCCCUAUUUGACCCAUCUUGAAAGACAAACCAAAAGGUCUGACAAGUGUACGAGUUAAUGGGCUAGAAAACCCAUAAGGUGCAAAGAAGCUAAUUGGUAGGAUCCCUCAUAGGUGUACUAUUGGCCAACCUUGAUCUUCUGAGAAGGGUGUGACCAUGCCUAUUAGGACCCAAAAGAUGGUGAACCAUGCCUGACCAGGGCAAAGCUAGAGGAAACUCUGGUGGAGUCCCAUAGUGAUAAUGAUGUGCAAAUCAUUCAUUUGACUUGGGUAUAAGGGUGAAAGACUAACUAAAGCAUCUACUACUAGUUCCUUCUAAAGUUUCCCUUAGGAUAGUUGGAGCCUUUAACGAAUUCUAUAUGAUAAAGCCAAUGAUUAGAGGCAUUGAGGGCACAAUGCCGUAAAUCUAUUCUCAAACUUUAAAUAGGUAGGAUCGCAUAACUGCUUCAUUAAGCCACACCAUGGAAUCGAAAGCUCCAAGUAGGCCAUUUUUGGUAAGCAAAACUAGUGAUGUGGGAUGAACCAAAAGCUAGGUUAUGAUGCACAACUGUGCACUAACCUAAAACCCAUAAAAGUGUGUUGGUUGAUUAAGAAAGCAAGAUAGUGGUCAUGGAAGUUAAAAUUAGCUAAAGAGUAUGUAACAACUCGCUGAGUCAACUAGCCCUAAAAAUGGAUAGCCCUUGAGUAUAUAACCUACACCUAACUGUCAAGGCAAGGGCCAAGCCACAGUGAGUAGGAGGGUAUGGCAAUCAUCACAAAACAUGGGACAUGAGCCCAAGCUAAGCUGCCAUCAGUGCAAAUCUUGGUGGUAGUACCAAAUAUUGAAAUGAAAACUUUGAAGGCCAAAGAGGGGAAAGGUUCCAUGUGAAUGACAUUUGCGCAAAGGUCAAUCAAUCCUUAAAGAUAAGGGAAGCUAAUCUGGCAACAAUGUGAGCAUCAAAAGAGAAUCAAGUUAAAAUUCUUAAACUAGGACAUACGGCUAACGUUAACGUUAGAGAAUCUAGAGAUGCUAAUAGAGGCCUCAAAAAGAGUUAUCUUUUCUAUUUAAUAGCUUGACCACCUUGGAAACUGCUUAGCAAGAGGUAGGGUCCAGUGGUUAGAAGAGCACCACACAUCACAUGUUGUUCGAUGCACUCCCAAUGGCCUUUGAAAAUCUAGAGGACCAAGUGCAUCUGUGCCCAUUCAUCUUCAUAACUGCAUCAAGGCCUCCAAGGUUAACAGCCUCUAGUCAAUGGAAUAAUAUAGGCAAAGGAAGUUGGCAAAAUGGAUUCAUAACCUCAGGAAAAGGAUUGGUUUUGAGGGCUAGGCACGGGGUACUAGUCUUGAACUUGUGGAUAUCAAUGCAUUGUUCAAGCUAUUCUCACAGUGAGAGUGGGUCGCCAUAUGCCAUCCAAGGGACAAACUAGGAAUAAAUCCCUUGAAGACCUUCAUUGGGCAAUGAACGGUUGAUUAAGAACUAGUAAAAACAACAGGAAUCCAACUAUUUAAUUAAAACAAAGCAUUCUAAUGGUCCCUGUAGAUGCUCAUGCAAAGUGAUUUUUUGCCUAAUGCUCUAAAUGUCAAAGUGAAGAAAAUCAACCCAUCAUGGUUAAAUAGCAAAAGUAACUAUGACUCUCUUAAGUUAGCUAAAUGCCUCGUCAUCUAAUUAGUGACACACAUCAAUGGAUUAACGGGAUUCCUACUUUCCCUACCUACUAACUAGCAAAACCAUAGCUAAUAGGAAUAGGCUUUGUAGAAUCAGUGGGGAAAGAAGACCCUAUUAACUUAACUCUAGUCUGACUUUGUGAAAUGACUUGAGAGGUGUAGGAUAAGUGGAAGCCUUAGGGAAAAAUUGAAAUACCAUUACUUUUAACGUUAUUUUAAUUAUUUUGUGAAUCAGAGGUGGGGCAUGACCCUUUCUUUUUUACCCAAGGCCAGCCUCGAUUAGUCAAUCAAGGUAGAAGACAUUAUCAGGUGAGAAGUUUGGCUGUGGUAGCAUAUCUAUUAAAAGAUAACACAAAUGUCCUAAGAUGAGUUUAAUAAGAAAAAAAAUCUCAUAUGGAGCAAAAGCGUAAAAGCUCAUUUCAUUUUGAUUUCUAUUACAAAUACAAACUGUGAAAGUAUGGCCUAUUGAUCCUUUAGAUUGCUAGAAUUUGAAGCUAGAGGUGUUAGAAAAGUUACCACAUGAAUAAUUGGCUUAGGUAACCAAGCUUUCAUAGCGACAUUACUUUUUGAUCCUUUGAUGUUGGCUUUUCCUAUCAUUAUGAAGCAUAAUUCACCAAGUGUUGGAUUUUUCACCCACCAAUAGGGAAUGUGAGUUAGGUUUAGACUAUCAUAAGACAAGUUAGUUUUACCCUACUGACGGCAGUAUUGCAAUAUUAAUUCAACCAAGUAUGAGAGGAACCAUUGAUUUGCAUAAUUAAUCAUCAAAUUUGGUUGAAAAGCCAGUGGCACGAAGCUACAUGUGCUAGAUUAUAACUGAAUGCCUCUAAGUCUAAAUCCAAGCUAGAAGUGAUACAUAUGCUUGUUGCCUAAUUGUCAACCUACAGGCCCAUGGCCCCCAAGGGCGCAUGUCAUAGGUGUAACCUCUAAGGCAGACGAGCCACAUAGGCCUCUUUGGAGCUUAAUUCCCAUUAAGCUAUAGGUGAAAUCCUUUGUAAAUGACUUCAAUAUGUGAUAGGGUAUUAUAAGUGGCAAAGUGGACUUGCUGCCAUGAUCCACUAAGAUUCAGCC
rnacentral:rRNA from 1 species